UUCAUUUUUAACACUGUUCAUAAUUUCUUAAAAUUGUCAAAAUGUUUCUAACGUCCAAAUCAUCCCGUCUGUUAUUGAUUUAUUGAUUUUGAUGAAGCUUGGAAUGCAUAUUUAUAUUCAAAAGAUCUUGUUUCCUUUUUAUAUUCGCGCCUAUCGGAUUAUAACUUUUUUUAAUUAUGGCCCUUGAUUGUACGAAAAAUCACGCUCUUAGCUUGUGGUCCCUCAAGAUGUCACAAUUAUUAUUUGAUUUUAAAAAUCAUGUUUUUGUAUAUUCCGAUUUAAAAAAAAACGUUUGAAUAUAUCACUGUUACACCUUAAUGACGGUUGAGUUCGAAUUUCGUGAAAAUCGGACAAAAUUGCCGAACAAAAUUGUUAACUAUGUCGUCUGCUAGUGGUGUGUGAGUGAGGUGUACAGUGAGAGUGAGUGCAUGUCAAUCCAGGUGUGUGCUGUGAAUACACACAGGUCAGGUGAGGAGUGAAGCAAGAUGGGCUGUGUGUGUAUAGGAGUGAAGGUGAUAUGAAGGUGGCCUAAAGUUGAUACUGAUGAUUGAAUAAAGAAUAUUAUAAAUCUACUAAACAUGGUAGCAGAGCGUUAAUCCAAAUCUCUACCUGAAGUUGAAUAUACAGGCUGCAUCUUUCAAAACACCACCAGCUUUUAAUAGCUCAGAAAAACCAUAUGGUCGAUGGCUGGAAGAAAUCAAGGCAUGGAGACGUUUAACUGAUUUACCUGCUGAAAAGCAAGCUUUAGCCAUAGCUCUAAGCCUGGAUGAGAAGGAUACAAGUGGAAUUCGGGAUAAAGUGUUUAAUGAACUUUCAACUGAUGAACUUAGUUCUGAUGAUGGUGUAAGAAAAUUGACAGAUUUUAUGGACAAGCUAUUCAAAAAGGAUGAAUUAACAGAAGCUUAUGAAGCAUAUUUAGAGUUCGACAAAUUUAGAAAAAAAAAGACAUGUUUACUGAAGUUUACGUCAGUGAAUUUGAAAAGAGAUAUAACAGAUCAAAGAAGUUUAGAAUGGAUCUACCUGCUGCUGUUCUAGCCUUCAAAUUACUGGAUGGAGCUGGGUUAGAGAGUAAAAAUCGUCAAUUGGUGUUAACUGGAGUAGAUUACAGUAAGACUGAGACUUUAUUUAAACAAAUGGGUAAUUCAUUAAAGAAAUUCUUUGGUAAGCAGUCGAUUUCUGUUGUCAUGUGAUGGUAUCAAAAGUGCGUCAUCUAGUAUUAAAGUCGAACAAGACACCUAUAUUAGCGAGAGAGAAGAAGAUGUGUUGGAAGCGAGGAAUUUAAGCAGAUACGGAAGGGGAAGUAACUUUGAUUUUAGAAGAGGUCAGGGAAGAAUAAGAGGAGGAUUUAACUAUGGAUAUAGAGGAGUGUUUUAUCAAAGUAAUCAGCGUAAUCAGUAUUAUCGGAGUAAUCAAGUAUCGAAACCAAUAAAUCCUAUGUCCUUUGAUGGAACACCAUUAAAGUGUCGUAGUUGUGAGUCAAUCCGACAUCUGGUAAUAGACUGCCCCUAUUCUUACGAGAACAUGAGUAAGUCACAAGAGCCAGAAAUAGCUAUUCCAUUCACCGGAAGUGAGCCUAUAGAAAUGAAGACAUUUGCAAGUGAAACAUUAUAUUCGGCAGUUUUAGAUAGUGCAUGUUCUUCAACAGUUGCAGGUAAGUGGCGGCUUCAAUGUUAUCUAGACAGUUUAAGUGAUAGGGAACGCCAGGGUAUUGAACGGUUAGAUAGUGAUACUAUUUUCAAAUUUGGAGGGGGUUGUAAAUUGAAACCAUUAGGAAUGUGUUUUAGAAACAGAUGUGGAAGAUAGUGAUAUACUAUGAAACGUGCUAAAGUAAAACUUGAUCUAAAAAAUGAUUCUGCACAAAUAUUCGGCACAGAUGUAAAACUCCAUUGUUUUACGGCUGGACAUUAUUGUAUAUUAGAACAAUCUAAUAUAGAUAUUAGAGACGCAUUUGAAGUUUUUCAGGCUGAGGGUACUACCGAAAAAUAUAAAAUGGUGCAAAAACUUCAUAAACAAUUUACGCAUCCCACAAGUUGUAGACUAAAAACCUUAACAAAAGAUGCUGGAUUUUAUGAAACAGAAUUUCAGAAGGUUAUUGAUGAAAUCUCGGAUAAUUGUCAAGUAUGUAAACGUUAUAAACGGACUCCAUCCCGACCGGUAGUAUGUACCCCAAUGGCUACAGAAUUUAAUGAAUGUGUAGCAAUGGAUUUGAAACAGUGGAAUACAAAUGUUUAUUUCUUGCAUUUAAUUGAUCUUGCAACACGAUUCAGUUUGGCAAGUGUUAUUUAUCAAAAGACCCCUGAUAUCAUAGUAGAGGAAGUUAUGGUAAAAUGGAUAGGUGGUGGUUUUGGUGCUCCUAAAAAGUUUUUUGCUGAUAAUGGUGGUGAAUUUGCGAAUGAUCAAUUCAGGGACAAGUGCGAAAAUUUGAAUAUUCAGGUGAUUAAUACAGCUGCCAGGAGUCAUUGGCAGAACGGACUUUGUGAGCGGAAUCAUUCAGUUGCAGACGAUUGUGUAUCUAAGCUUUUGGAGGACGAUCCACAAAUGAAACUUAGGGUAGCAUUAGCCUGGGCCGUGAAUGCGAAAAACAGCCUACAGAUGGUUUAUAGGUGGAGCCCCCAUCAACUUGUUUUUGGUGUGAACCCAAAUUUACCAUCAUUUAUGGAAGAUAAACCUCCUGCUUUAGAAGGGAAAACAAUUAGUGCAAAAUUUGCCAGCCAUUUGAACGCGUUACAUGCUGGAAGAAGAGCUUUCAUUCAGGCAGAAGCCUCUGAAAGAAUUCGUAGGGCAUUAAGACAUCAAAUCAGCACAUCUAGUGGUCCAUUCGAACAAGGGGAACUUGUUCAUUAUAAAAGAGACGACAAGUGGAGAGGACCUGGUAAAGUGAUUGGGCAGGACGGAAAAGUGGUUUUUGUUCGACACGGUAGUGUAUAUGUAAGAAUUCAUCCAUGUCGUUUAACCAAGGUUGGAGAAGAAUUCACUGAGCAGAAAAAUGAUAAAGUUAAUGAAGAUAAAUUGGAUGGAAAUGAAAAUGAUAAAAUUGUAUCGGUUGAAUCCGAUAGUGAUGAAGAUUUGGUAACUCAGAAAGAAAAUUAAACUGUAGGUAGAAUUGGCACCAGAACUGUUCAAAAGUUAACGGAUUUACCAUGUAAUAAUGAGCAAAUUAAAUAUAAGUUGAAAAAUAGCGAUCAGUGGAUUGAAGCGACAGUAUUGAGUAGAGGUGGUAAAGCGACGGGUAGAAAUUGGGCGUAUUUGAAUAUUAGAGACAGUGGUGAUGAUAAUGCAAAAGGUGUAGAUUUUGUGAAUGACUUGAGUGAAUGGAAACCUUCAGACCAAUGUGGUGAGAUAGUAGAAAUAAAUGAAGCGUCGUCUGAUGUGAAAUUAGCUAAGCAUGCAGAAUUAGACAAUUGGAAACGUUUUAAAGUGUAUGAGGAAGUGCCAGAUCGAGGGCAACCAACACUUUCAACUAGAUGGGUGAUAACAAAGAAAAUGAUCAAUAACAACGAAUCUCUGAAAGCUCGUUUAGUGGCUCGUGGGUUUGAAGAAUCAGAUAUACAGGCAGAUUCGCCUACUGCUACAAAAGAAACUUUAAGAAUAUUUCUUUCAUUAGCCACAACAAUGAACUGGGCAUGUCAAUCAAUUGACUUCAAAGCAGCUUUCCUGCAGGGAGAUGAUAUUUCUCGUGAAGUGUAUUUAAAACCUCCAAGAGAGGUGGAUGCUAUAGGUAUUAUCUGGAAACUGAUAAAAUGUGUCUAUGGAUUAAGUGAUGCAUCCAGGAAUUGCUAUAUGAGUGUGAAAAAUAAUUUACUUAAGAUAUAGGAUGUACAAUAUCUAGCAUUGAUCCUGCAUUUUUCUUUUUCUUUUAUGAAAAUUGUAUAUCUGGUUUGUUUCUGACUCAUGUUGAUGAUUUUCUAUGGUGUGGAAAUGAUAAGUUUAAAACUUCGGUUAUAGAUAAAGUACUUGAAUCAUUUGUAAGUGGUAAACAAGAAUCAGGCUUAUUUAAAGGAGCUAAAUCGCUAACAUUUGGGACCUAGAAAUUGACAAAAGUGGGUCGCAACGCAUAUAAUACUGUAAUAUGAAUGUAUAUAAACUCAUUUACAUUCAAUGGUUUCCAUUUUUACUCCAAUUUCAAAUCAGUUAUGUUCGGCGAAAUAAGCCAGCAGUCUCAAGCAAGUGCAAAUUUCUAGCGUCUGGUUAUUCCAGUCUACAUACGCCGUUUGAUUUGAUGCAAUGUGUCUAGCCUCGUCCCUCGAGUCUCUUGAUACAACUGGGGCUGAAGCGCAUUAUGGUACACGAUUCGUGUACCAAUGGUAAAAUGUUUAUUUUGUCUUAAAUAUUGGAUAUCAAAAGCCCAUCUUUUUUCCGGUAAGAUCACAACAUGAAUGUUGAUUUAAUUUGACAAAAAAAUCGUGUUUUCAAUGUUGAAGACUUUGGAUGAUAUUGAGUUAGAGACUUAGCUACUUUAAGUAUAUUGGCUUAGAAUUACAGAAUUGUAUUAUAUUACACCAAGAAUCUUACAUUAAGCAAGUUGAAAAUAUUAAUAUAAAUGGCGCUAGGUAUCAAAAUAAGGAUGGUGAUUUGAAUGAAUUUGAAAUUACCAAUUUAAGAGAAGUCAUUGGACAGUUAAGUUGGGUUUCAAAUCAAUCUCGUCCAGAUCUAUAUUUUAAAUUUAGGUGUUUCCAUGAAAAGGCCAAAAAUUGAGCAUUUAAUAUUAGCACAUAAAUGUGUAAAGAAGCUGAAAGGUGACAGUUGUAAAGUAAUGUUUCCUUGUUUAGGUUCUUUAAAAGACAUUAUGGUUAUUGUAUUUUCUGAUGCUUCAUAUGCAAAUUUGUGUGAUAAUGUUUCAAGUGCUGAGGGAUAUGUAAUAUUUUUACAGGGUAGUUCUGAUUUAGUUUGUCCAAUAGUGUGGUGUUCCAAGAAAAUUAGGAGGGUUGUAAAGAGCACUAUAGCUGCAGAAACCUUAGCAUUAUGUGAUGCUCUAGACAUGGCAGUUUAUGUCGGAGCGAUUUUAAGUGAGAUUGUAAAUACAGCACUGUAGUUAUUGUAAAAUUCCAAUUUUUUGUUAUGUUGAUAAUAAGUCACUGUAUGAUAAUGUAUAUUCUACAAAACUUGUUCAGGAAAAACGUUUACGUAUUGAUAUUGCAAUUGUUAAGCAAAAUUUGGAGAACGGGGAAAUUGGUAAAAUUGAGUGGGUUCCAAACAGUCAUCAACUUUCUGAUUGUUUGACAAAACGUGGGGCUGCUUGAAAAACUUUAAGUGAAACCUUUAGAUCUGGAAGAUUGUGUUUUAAAAACAAAUAAUUUGUAAUUGUAUAUAUCAUAUAUUUAAACUCUAAUUUUUAGAUUUCAAAGAUAAAAUGUGGUAAUAAGAAAAAAUUAUAUAUAACGCAAAUGGUGUAAAUAUGUGGUAUUAAGGUUGUAGACCAUCUAGAGGUCACAAUGUUUUUCCAAUUUUGAAGCAACCUUAAAUUUAUGCUUAUAUCACAAAGGUCUUAGUUCCUUUCGAUAUUCACGCAUAUCGGAUCGUAACUUCCUGAAUUAUGGCCCCUGAUUGUACGAAAAAUCACUUUUUUAGCUUCAGGUUCCUCUAGAGGUCACAAUUAUUAUCCGAUUUAUAAAAACGUUCAAAUAUACUCAGCGCCAUGGAAAACGCAUCACUUUUUUCCCCAAAUAUUUUAUUACUAGGUGGAUUUGUAUGUAUAAUAUUAUUCAAUACUAUGAACUAUCGUUUCACACAAUGCUCCCAAACGCAAAAAAUAUCGGCCCGUGUGCACCAAAAAAAAAUUGCACGAGAUGCACAUGAAAAACCCACUAUUCACGUGCAGCAUUGUGUGUGAGCCCUAUAAAAGCAUGUUGCAGUACAUGAACUGUGAAACGUCAAUCUGUCGUAAUUUGUUGUUGGACGUGUGAAGGAAUCGAGCUAGAGAUGCCGAGACUUACUGAAAAUCAACGGAAUGAAGCCAUGGGAAUCUCCAGGGCCCUUAUUCACGAAAACUUAAACUAAGUUACAACCGAAAUUUUAAGAAAUACUGCAACUUCAUUGGAUAUAUGCAAAUUGAUUUUACUGGUCAGCCAAUCGAAUUGCAGUAUUUCUUAAAAUUUUGAUUGUAUCUUAGUUUAAGUUUUCGUGAAUAAGGGCCCAGGACUGGCAUGUCUACACGUGCUAUUGCCAGACACUUCAAUUGUCAUCAAUCUACUAUUGUAAGGUUGGUGGAACGUGUUCAAGUUACUGGAUCAACACGUGACCGUCAACGUCCUGGUCCACAACGCGUUACAACCCAGGCUCAAGACCGCUACAUCAGGGUCACUCAUCUGCGUGACAGAUUCCGCCCAGCGACUCGAACAGGUGCAGAAGUCGUCGGAGGUCAAGGACCAGUAAGUGCCAACACCGUAAGACGUCGUCUAAGAGAAAUAGGACUCCGUGCACAACGACCUUAUGUUGGAGCUAUCCUCAGGGAUCAUCACCGUUAGCGGCGUUUGAUAUGGGCUCAAGGACACCAGACAUGGAGAAGAGUAGACUGGCAAAGUGUGCUCUUCAGUGAUGUGGAGACGUCUUGGGGAACGUCUUGCAGACUGCUGCAUCUUCAAAACGAAUCGAUGGGGUGGGGGAAGUGUAUUGGUGUGGGGAGGCUUCACAUUUCAUCACCGGACCGCCCUACACAUUUGCAGGGGUCGCGUUAAUGCUGUAGCCUACCGUGAUGAUGUCUUGCAACCAAUUGUUCCGAUGUUUCGAGCGCACCCACAGCUUCAGCACUUCCAACAGGAUAAUGCACGUCCGCAUACCGCCUGUUUUAGUAUGGACUACCUGGCUGCUAACAACAUCAAUGUCUUGGACUGGCCAGCCAUGUCUCUGGACACGGCACCGAUAGAACAUGUCUGGGAUGAGAUUGGACGCCGUCUGUAUCGGAGACCACAGAUGCACACCAUUGCUGCUUUAGAAGCUGCUCUUGUCCAAGAAUGGAACAAUUUGCCUCAGGCCUUCUUUCAAACAUUGGUAAAUUCCAUGCGACGUCGCUGCACAGCGUGCGUAAGAGUCCGUGGAGGACACACGCGCUACUGACAUCCGUGUCAUACUUUUGGUUUUGACCCCUCUGACUUUGUACCGUUGGUUACAGAUUAAACAUCCAUAAGUGUACAAAUGUGUUGUUAUUGACGUGUUCCCAUUUGAAUAUUGUUCACAAUAAGAAGCAAAAUAAAUAAGAUAUGUUUAUAGGAUCAUUUUGUUAUACGAAAAAAUAAGUGAUGCGUUUUCCAUGGCGCUCAGUAUAUAUCACAGUUACACCAUAAUUUUGGCUGAGUUUAAAUUUCAUGAAAAUCGGUCUAAAACUGCCGGACAAAAUGGCAAAUAGUGUAUAACAUCUGGUAUAUCAAAGUUGUGGACCCUCUAGAUGUCACUAUUUUGAUCCGUUUUGAUGAAACUUGAAAUACAUGUUUAUAACCGAAAGAUGUUGGUUCCUUUCGAUGUUUGCGCGUAUCGAAUCCUAACUUCCUGAAUUAUGGCCACUGAUGGUACGAAAAAUCGUGUUUUUAGCUUGUGAUCCCUCUAGAGGUCACAAUUAUUAUCCGAUUAAAUAAAAAUGUUUGAAUAUAUCACCGUAAUUUUGAUUGGAGUUCGGAUUUUAAAAACCGUUUAAAUAUAUGAGAAUUGGCCCAAAACUGACAGACAAAAUGGCCUCCUCUCGUUCUUAAAUAGUGUAAAAAUAUGGUAUAUCAAGGUUGUGGACCCUCUAGAGGUCACAAUUUUCCUCUGAUAUUUAUGAAUCUUGAAAUGAAAGUUUAUAACCCAAAGAUCUCAGUUCCUUUUCAUUUUCCUGAAUUAUGGCCCCCAAUUGUACGAAAAAUGGCAUUAUUAGCUUGUGGACCCUAGAUCAGUCAUAAUUUUUUUAUCUGAUUUAAAAAAAAGUUUAAAUAUAUCACCGAUGAGUUCGAAUUUCGUAAAAAUCGGACCCUAACUGGCAGAAAAAAUGGCUGCCCCUCGUACUCAAAUAGCGUAAAAAUAUGGUAUAUCAAUGUUGUGGACCCUCUAGAGCUCAGAAUUUUGAUCCGAUUAUGAUAAAACUUGAAAUACAUGUUUAUAACCCAAACAUAUUAGUUCCUUUUGAUAUUCACGCAUAUCGGUUCGUAACUUCCUGAAUUAUGGCCCCUGAUUUUACGAAAAAUUGUGUUUUUAGCUUGUGGUCUCUCAAGAGGUCACAAUUUUUAUCUGAUCAAAAAAAAAAAUGUUAAAAUAUGUCACCGUUACACCGUAUUGUUGGUUGAGUUCAAAUUGCAUGAACAUCAGACCAAAACUGCCAGACAAAAUGGGUCAUCGACGCGAAUAGUGAAACCAUCUGGUAUAUCAAGGUUGUGGACCCUCUAGAGCUCACAAUUUUGAUCCGAUUUUGAUGAAACUGGAAAUGCAUGUUUAUAACCCAAGAUCUUGGUUGGUGUCGAAAUUUGGGCAUAUCGGAUUGUAACUUCCUGAAUUAUGGCCCUUGAUGUUAUGAAAAAUCGUUUUUUUAUACGCCAACAUUGAAAUGUGGACGUAUAUUGCCGUCGCCCUCGUCCGUCCGUCUGUCGGUCCAUCCGCCCGUCCGUCCAUCGGCCACAAUUUCUUGUGAACGCUCUAUUGCCAAAAGUUAUCAUCCAAUUGUGUUAAAAUUGAUAUAUAUUGUUUACACUAGUGAGAUGAAGAAGCCUAUUUAAUUUCAAUAAUUUCCGUUUAUUACGUCUAGAGUUAUGGCCCUUGUUUCACUUUGUUGAACUUUGUGAAAGCUCUAAUACCAAAAGUUAACAUACGAUCUUUGUGAAAUUUAUAUGCAAUAUUUAAGUUAGUGAAACGAAGAAGCCUAUUGAAUUUCAACAAUUUCUGUUUAUUACGUCUAGCGUUAUGGUCCUUGUUUCACUUUAUUGAACCUUGUGAACGCUCUAACUCCAAAAGUUAUCAUCCGAUCUUUCUGAAAUUUGCAUGCAUUAUUUAAAUUAGUGAAACAAAGAAGCCUAUUGAAUUUCAGCAAUUUCCGUUUAUUACGUCUAGAGUUAUGGCUCUUGUUUCACUUUAUUGAACCUUGUGAACGCCGCUCUAACUCCAAAAGUUAUCAUCCGAUCUUUCUGAAAUUGACAUGCAUUAUUUAAAUUAGUGAACCUUGUGAACGCGCCAACGCCAAAAGUUAUCAUUCGAUCUUUGUGAAAUUUAUAUGCAUGAUUUAAAUUAGUAAAACGAAGAAGCCUUUUGAAUUUCAGCAAUUUCCGUUUAUUACAUCUAGAGUUAUGGCCCUUGUUUCACUUUAUUGAUCCUUGUGAACGCUCUCAUGUCAAAAGUUAUCAUCCGAUCUUUCUGAAAUUUAUGGGCAUUAUUUAGAUUGCUAAAACGAAGAAGCCUAUUGAAUUUCAGCAAUUCCCGUUUAUUACGUCGAGUGUUAUGGCCCGUAUUUCACUUUAUUGAUCCUUGUGAACGCUCUAAUCGUCAUAAGUUAUCAUCCGAUCUUUCUGAAAUUUAUAUGCAUUAUUUAGGUUACUGAAACGAAAAAGCCUAUUGUAUUUCAGCAAUUUCCGUUUAUUACGUCUAGAGUUAUGGCCCUUGUUUCACUUUAUUGAUCCUUGUGAAAGGUCUAACGUCAAAAGUUAUCAUUCAAUCUUUCUGAGAAUUAUAUGCAUUAUUUAAAUUAGUGAGACGAAGAAUCCUAUUGAAUUUCAGCAAUUUCGGUUUAUUACGUCUAGUGUUAUGGCCCUUGUUUCACUUUAUUGAACCUUGUGAACGCUCUAACUCCAAAAGUUAUCAUCCGAUCUUUCUGAAAUUUACAUGCAUUAUUUAGAAUGGUGAAGCCUAUUGAAUUUCAGCAAUUUCCUUUUAUUACGUCUAGAGUUAUGACCCUUGUUUUACUUUAUUGAACCUUGUGAACGCUCUAACGCCCAAAGUUAUCAUUCGAUCUUUGUGAAAUUUAUAUGCAGUAUUUAGAUUAGUGAAACAGAGAAGCCUAUUGAAUUUCAGCAAUUUCCGUUUAUUACGUCUAGAGUUAUGGCCCUUGUUUCACUUUAUUGUUCCUUGUGAACGCUCUAACGCAAAAAGUUAUCACCCGAUCUUUGUGAAAUUUAUAUGCAUGAUGUAAAUUAGUGAAACGAAAAAGCCUAUUGAAUUUCAGCAAUUUACAAUAAUUACUUCUAGAGUUAUUGCCCUUGUUUCACUUUGUUAAACCUUGUAAAUGCUCGAUUGAUGAUAGUUAUCAUCCAAUAUGUAUGAAAUUUAUAUGCAUCAUUUAAAUUUGUGAAACAGGUCUAUUGAAUUUCAGCAAUUUCCGUCAAUAAUUUCUAGAGUUAUGGCGAUUGUGAAUGACAAAAGUGAUCAUGUGAUCUGUAUGAAAUUUAUAUGCAUUAUUUAAAUUAGUAAAACGAAGAAGCCUGUCAAAUUUCAACAAUUUCUGUAGAUUACUUCCAGAGUUGAGACCCUUGUUUCAGUUUGUAGAACCUUGUAAACCCUCAAACGACAAAAUUUAUAAUCUCAUCUGUAUGGAACUGUCUUGUAAAGGCCCCCAAUUACCUACAAAGGAAUAAAUAUGCGACAACCCUUGAGAACCGCUCGGACGAUUUAGCUGCUGUGGGCGUAUGUUUUGUUGCCUGGCAACCUAUCUUGUUUAGCUUGUUUUCUAUCCAUCCCUUGAAAAAUGUGGGCAUAUCCUGCCUGGCAGCGGCUGGUUUUUCCAGCCAACAGUAAUUUUUAUUGUCCCCCGCCUUUUGAAGAAAGCAGGGGACUAUUAAAAUGGGUCUGUCUGUCUGUCUGUCGUCCGUCACAUUUUUUGGGACACAAUUACUCUCCUUCUAAUUGACUUAGAAUGUUCAAACUUGGUGUAGGUGUUUAUUAGGUCAAUGCCUUGAUGGAGUUCGAAGAUGAUCAUUUUCUGCUUAGGGUAAGCACAAGGGAGAACAGAACCACGCCGGAAAAUCUGGAUGAACUUUGCAGGGAUCGAACACCCGACCUCCAGGCUAGCGAGCUAGCGUCUUACCCACUUAGCCAUGUGAUCCCCAGGGAUGAAGGCAUAGUUAAAGAAGAGAUUACUGUAAGUGAUGGAGAUACGAUAAAUAAAGUAAAAGUAUAUCAUACACCUAAAGCUACCACCCCACCUACACCAACACUUGGUCCUAAUACAGAUAAACAAAUACUUCGUGAUUUCCUCAGCAGUGAUUACUGUUUACAAGGGGGAACAGGUUGGUGGAAACAUGAAUUUUGUUACAAUAAACAUGCUAGACAGUAUCAUGAUGGACCUGAAGGCAGACAAGUUAUUUAUUUAGGUCACUGGAAUUUCCAGAAACAUUUAGAAUGGUUACAAAAACAUCCAUCCAAACGGCCUAAAGAGAAGGAUAGUAGAAAACAUAUAUCUUUAUUAUAUACGGAUGGUGAUAUAUGUGAUUUAACUGGUAAUAAAAGAAUAACAGAAGUUAGAUUAAAAUGUAUACCAAAUGAACAGCAUCCACAUGCAGUAGCAUUAUACUUAAUGGAGCCUAGUCCAUGUAAUUAUAUUUUAGGAAUUGAAUCACCUUUAUUUUGUUCAUUAUUAAUGAAAGCUGAUGAUGAUGGUAUUUUUACAUUAGCUGAUGUAAAAGGACUAUAAUUUGUUAAUUAAAAUUUGAAUUUUUUUUCUGAAAGUCAUUGUCAUCAAGUCUCAUAGUCAAAUUUAUCAUAUCAAUAACUAGUAAACUUUACUUGAUAUAUUCUUAUU